rnacentral:rRNA from 1 species
GACGAACGCUGGCGGCGUGCUUAACACAUGCAAGUCGAACGGAAAGGCCCUGCUUUUGUGGGGUGCUCGAGUGGCGAACGGGUGAGUAACACGUGAGUAACCUGCCCUUGACUUUGGGAUAACUUCAGGAAACUGGGGCUAAUACCGGAUAGGAGCUCCUGCUGCAUGGUGGGGGUUGGAAAGUUUCGGCGGUUGGGGAUGGACUGCGGCUUACCAGCUUGUUGGUGGGGUAGUGGCUUACCAAGGCUUUGACGGGUAGCCGGCCUGAGAGGGUGACCGGCCACAUUGGGACUGAGAUACGGCCCAGACUCCUACGGGAGGCAGCAGUGGGGAAUAUUGCACAAUGGGCGGAAGCCUGAUGCAGCAACGCCGCGUGCGGGAUGACGGCCUUCGGGUUGUAAACCGCUUUCGCCUGUGACGAAGCGUGAGUGACGGUAAUGGGUAAAGAAGCACCGGCUAACUACGUG